rnacentral:misc_RNA from 1 species
GAUGAAGAACGUAGCGAAAUGCGAUAAGUAAUGUGAAUUGCAGAAUUCAGUGAAUCAUCGAAUCUUUGAACGCACAUUGCGCCCGUCAGUAUUCUGGCGGGCAUGCCUGUUCGAGCGUCAUUACGCCCCUCAAGUCCCCUGUGGACUUGGUGUUGGGGAUCGGCGAGGCUGGUUUUCCAGCACAGCCGUCCCUUAAAUUAAUUGGCGGUCUCGCCGUGGCCCUCCUCUGCGCAGUAGUAAAACACUCGCAACAGGAGCCCGGCGCGGUCCACUGCCGUAAAACCCCCCAACUUUUUAUAGUUGACCUCGAAUCAGGUAGGACUACCCGCUGAACUUAAGCAUAUCAAUAGGCGGAGGA